rnacentral:rRNA from 1 species
GAUGAACGCUGGCGGCGUGCCUAAUACAUGCAAGUCGAGCGAACAGACGAGGAGCUUGCUCCUCUGACGUUAGCGGCGGACGGGUGAGUAACACGUGGUUAACCUACCUAUAAGACUGGGAUAACUUCGGGAAACCGGAGCUAAUACCGGAUAAUAUAUUGAACCGCAUGGUUCAAUAGUGAAAGACGGUUUUGCUGUCACUUAUAGAUGGAUCCGCGCCGCAUUAGCUAGUUGGUAAGGUAACGGCUUACCAAGGCAACGAUGCGUAGCCGACCUGAGAGGGUGAUCGGACACACUGGAACUGAGACACGGUCCAGACUCCUACGGGAGGCAGCAGUAAGGAAUCUUCCGCAAUGGGCGAAAGCUUGACGGAGCAACGCCGCGUGAGUGAUGAAGGUCUUCGGAUCGUAAAACUCUGUUAUUAGGGAAGAACAAAUGUGUAAGUAACUAUGCACGUCUUGACGGUACCUAAUCAGAAAGCCACGGCUAACUACGUG